GCUGGGCACAGUGGUGGAUGCCUGUAAUCCCAGCAAACUUGGGAGGCUAAGACAGGAGGAUCAAAAGUUCAAAGCCAGCCUCAGCCACAUCAAGGUGCUAAUAAGCAACUCAGUGAGACCCUGUCUCUA
rnacentral:sRNA from 1 species